UCCCACCUCCCCCAACGCCAUUCCCCCUCUCCGCCUCCACGCCUCCCGAGCCCAAACAAAACCCUAGCUCCGGCGCCGCCACCUCGCCGUCCGGCUCCUCCCGCCUCCAGCAGCAGCAGCAGCAAAUGGCCCGCCCCUCCGCCGCCGUCGUGAUCGCCGCCUUCGUGGCCUUGGCCGCGCUGGCCACCGCGGCCUCCGCCGCCGAUUUGGCGCCGGCCCCCGCCCCGACCUCCGGCGCCGGCGCCCUCUCGGCGCCGCUCUCCGCUGUCUGCCUGGCCGGGCUCCUCGCCGCCUUCCUCCGCCACUGAGCCGGCGGCGGCCGCCUCGCCCGCGUGCGCGUGUCUUCGUCGGAUCUAGUAGUACAGUGGUAGUGAGAGUCUUAUUAGUGGUAGUAGCAGUAUUGUAGUGGUUGUGAUAGUGCCAUGGAGGGAGAGGCAUUUGUUUUGGUGGUUCGCCGGGCGGAUGGAUCUGAGGGUUUCGUGUGGGGAUUUUGAGAGGUUUUUGAGGGUGGAUUUGAUUAGCGUGGUUGGUGUGAGUCUAUUCCUAUUAUUUAGUCGCGUCUUGUGUACCUAGUGCUCACUGGCUCUGAGAGUAUUAUUAUUAUUGUUAUGGAUUUAUGAUAUUAUUAUUAUUGUUAUAUUAUUCUCGCGUAUCAUCUCUGUUCAGUUUCAGUAGAUUUAUGCUUAUUAUCAGCAAAAUUCACUGAAAUUUCAUAGAAGAUCACUGUCGCAAAAUCUUAAAUUCACGGUGUGUUAUGAGACCGAUUCUGUUGGGCAUCUGCCCUGUCCAGACACUGCGAGGUGUAUGGUUGUGGCAUGCCCUGCUGAGAAUCUGAGCAGAUUGAUAUGAUUCGAGAUGGAAUUUUGUGUGUGCGCGACAUGUGUCCCGGCAUGAAGGGAAGGGUAGAAAGCUUGAGACCGAGGCAGCUUAAAGGCUAAGCAAGCACACGCACGCAGUACGUGUGAGCGAGCGAGGCCGCGCCAGAGCGGAGAUGGAGAUGCCUGUACGGCGUGGCCCACCUGUUUGGGCAGCACAUGGGCAGCGGUUGGGGGUUCGUUGUGACCACCUGGCCGACGCCCCCGCCACCCAGAGGAAUAGCUCAAUCGCAUCGCGUUGCCAAGACUCUCCAGAAUUUUCUGCGUGUAUAAUGCGCCCUUCCAUACUUGGGAAUCCUGGGAAUUCCCCCUCCCAAACGACGCUAACCAGAAUAGGAAUCCAUCCACGCUAACAAAGAAAUGGGAAUCCUGAUGUUCCUUGGUACCCAUGGGCUUUCCAGCUGAACUCGUCGACAAAGAAGCCCAUCAGAAAACAAAACGACAUCUAAGCUAGACGCGAACCAUGUUCGGGCCAAAUGCCGGCCCUCUAAGCAUGGCCCAGAACUUAAUUUAUUAUACUCGAUGCUAAAAAUUGCUUUCAAAGAUUAUCCUAAAACAAAGAUAUCCAUCAAGAUAGCAAAAAGUUGAGAAUAUUUCAUCAGAGGGAGAAAGGAAAACAGCCAAACAGGCAUGAAAGAGCCGAUGAACCUGGGGCCUCAACUAAUUAUAAGCCUGAGGUCAGCAACAAUAAACUUGAACUUAUAAUCUUAUUCCUUUCCCUGACGAACUAGGCAUAUCGACAAGAUUAUCUGUUUAUUUGUGACAAGAAUCAAAACAAUUGGUGGACCAAAAAUGACUUUCUUCUCCAAUGGAAGGUCAUGGCAGCACCUAUACCAUAAUAUAGGAACUAACUAAACCGUUCAGCUUGCUUUUCCCCCCACCACCAGCCUACCUCACGGACAAAAAAGAGAGAAGAUCUCCGAUUAGAAGCUAAUCCAAGUAGAAAAGCGUCACGAUCUUCCGAAGGUUCUUGGCCUCCUGGCAUGUCUCCAUCAGCAGCUUGCUGUCAUGGAACGCGAAGCAGAUCACCUGUUGGAUCUUCGAGAUGAUGUCCAUGUUGCAUAACCUGAAGGUUACAAGAGUUGCCAUUAAGCAUAAAGAUGAUAUUCAAGAAGCAAUACUGAUUUACAGAAAAUGUGACUUGUCUUUCAGUUCGUCAAAUAGGCAAAAAGACAGAUGCUCGUCGUCUAGAAUACAACAGAUAAACCCCAAAAGUUUACGACCUGUCGCCAUAAUAGUGUAGUAUCAACUCUGAAAAAUAAACUACUCUACAGCUACAGAUGCAUACCCUUGGCCCUUGGGCAGACCCCAAUCUAGAGCUAUAGUUCAUGGCGUCAACCUGUCCAAUGCUUGUUUCGCGUAAGUUCUGUAAAUGAGGCAUCAGAUACUCUUGCAGAAUGUACAGAACAUAGUAUUUGUUUUUCAUGGCAUUAUGAGGUUACUAAUAGUAUUCCAACCAUCUAUGUAACAAUCAAUGAGUUAAAAAAAGUGAUGUCGGUUUUCAUCAAAAGCAUAGUCUCUGACAAGUGCUGGAACUAAAUGAUACACUGAUCAGGCAUGGACCGAAUACAUGUAGCGACACCAUUGGUAACAAAAAAUAUACAAUAUAGGAAAAGUAUGAGCAAUUUCGAAAGGUAGCUGACCAACCUGCUAGCCUCAAUCAGUGGCAAAUGGUCAUACUGUGGUUUCUCAAUCAAGUUUUGUACCUACAAAGUAUACAAAACCUUACUGAAGCAUUUUAAAUUUUACCAUAUGGAAAUGGAACAUCAGGAGGAUGCUAUUUAACUCCUGAGGCAUGCUAUUGGAAUUAAUGCAUAUGACAGUGGAUGCCUAAUAAUCUCACUAUCUAGCCAGAAUCCUAGAUCAUAGGAUAAUGCUAAUGUUUUCUGAACAAUUGCAAGCGGGUUCUGGCCUGGUUGGCUAGCUCAUUGUAGAGCGGAGCUAGCAACCGCGGUUUGAAUCCCUGUUUGCACAGAUAUUAAGCCAUCUAAUAUGGCUGGGGGCUAAACCCCUGUAAUCGUUUUUUUUCCUGAAAACUUCAGAUGCCAUGGUGAGACAUUCCUAACCAAAUUGAUCGCAUUGAUUUUUAAGCAUAUUUACAAUCAAGCUUGAUAAAGAUAGCAACAAAACACUCUAAGGAUCCAAAAUUAAAUACAAACUUUCUUAUGUUUUCUUGUGUAAGAACAGAUGUACAACAGAACUGAAGGUUAAUGGUAACAGCAGAAUUAAUUCAGAAGCCUGCAGUGAAAAUAAAUAGAAUGCUCUCUUGGUGAAGGAUGAAUCAGGUCAACUAUUUAUCUUCGUAUUACUCUAUAGUCUAUACAGAAGAGCAUACACAUAACAAUAACGAAGCACAAUGUUCUCCUAAAGAAUGUUUACAUGUAUGGUCAGGGGAUAUCAAAUUAAAAAGAAUUGGCUGUAAGACCUAACUCAGAGAUGAUAAUACUGUAGUUUACUGUAAACAAAGUAUCAUCAAACAUCAGUUCAUUGAUAGAAAAACACAACUAAGGAAGCUCAUGCAUUUGUCAUACAACCAGCAUCAUCAUGCCUACACCAAUUUGAAUAUCAUAUAGAUUACAAACAUGAUUCAUACACAAGCAUGGGUACAUCUUCUCCUUUUUCGUGGAGCACUAAGAAAUUCUGCAUAACUUGUCUCAAUAUGCUGAAUUUAAUGCGAUGAGCAGUCUAUCAAUACAAAAUCACUAAAUGCCAGCACUAAAUAUAUAGAACAACAGGUAUAUUGGCGCGCAUAGGAAUCUAUACGAAUAGGUCUGGAACUAAUUUUGACUAGAAAAUGACAAGUCAGAAUAGAAAUAUCAGGAAGUCUUACUUUGGACAACAGUUCUUGGCUUUCAGGAGGUUGCUUCUUUAGACUCUGAGGUAAAAUUACAGUAAGCAACUCUGGCUUUUCAGCUCUUAAAGCGCCCCUGAUAACAGCUGCAUUAGUUCCGGAAGCCCCAGAUGUGAAUAUAUGAUUUUUCUGCAAUUUCUACACAAAUAUUACUAACAAUGCUAGAGGACUCAAAGACCAUAUGAAUGGCAACAUCAAAUAAAUCAGGGAGAUCAUAUGAAUCAGUGAAUCACAGUAGCACAUAAAUAAAGAACAUACUGUUAUGACCAUAGCAUAGCUCAGGAUCUCAAUAAGCUGCUGAUGCAUAUACCCCAUGUUGCGGGUUCCAAAGAAACCUAUUGCACGAGGUCCUUGUUGCUGAAUAGCCAACAGCUCCUGCAUGACCACCAAUUAAAUGAGAUCAGUUUGCAGGAUAAAUCAAUUCAUAAACGCCAUGUAUGCAAAGUAGCAUUCAUUAUUGAAAGUCUGAUUGUACUAAACUAACUUUCAGAGGUAACCACUAAAGUUAACUUUGAGUAAACUGAACAGAAAAAAACAAAACACAAUGUAAAAUGAGCAGAAACAUUACCUGUAGGUAAUCUAGAUCAGGGAUCGGCUUGUAUUCUGGUUCAGCAACCAUUGCAGUACCCUUGACAAGAGUCUCUGUCUGAGUAGGAAUCUUUACACCAUCAUCAUCUGGCCCAAACAUAAUAGUAUCAUCUCUUCCUUGACUCCUCACAUCACCUUCAUGCCCAUCUCUUUGCAUGUAUCCGCAGAGCAACUAUACGAGCACAAUAAAAACAGAACCUGGCAGUAAAUCAUUAGUGAAAACCAAAUAUAUUACAUCAUACUAAAUAAAGUUUCCAGUUUUACAAUUUUACUUUGCACCUGUGCUGAUUCUUCAAAGUCAGCUAGCCAUCAAGUAAUCCCAGAUCUAAAGUAACACCAUACCACAACAAGGGCCACAGCAAUUUAGGACACAACCUAAAUUCAGUGAGCGGAUUUGUAUACCCGUUUUAAACCCAACUUUCUGAAGACACAGCAGAAACUUUGAAUAAAAGAUACCAACAAAGGUGACGAGAAUCCCAAGCAUUGGAUUCUGAAUAAAUGUAAAGGGCAGGCUGAAUCCAAUUCAGUGGAGCAUUAAGUAUUUAAAGGGAUCUAGAAGUGUAGCCUUUGAGUUGCACAGUUCACCCUUUAAAGGUAUGCUAAAGAAAAAUAAUACAAACACUUUUGACAUGUAAUGAUAAUAGCCUGCAACAUUUAUCUGCAAAAGAUGAUUAACUUUAUGAAUGGUGCAUAUCUUUACCAUCUAUCAGCCAGAAAGUUCCAUCAAUUGAGGUCGGUCCUAUUCUGAGGCGACCAUGACUUACUCUGCACCUUAGUCCCAACCGCGCACGGUUUGGAUUGACGGGAGCAUAGCUCAGAUGCAGGAAGGUGUGAAUGACAUUAAUAAACUUUAGGCACAGGAUCUAAGCAUCAGCAACACAAGCAGGAUCGCUUGUUACAGUGGACUGUUAAAAUAUCUAAUUUUGACGAACUUUUUCCUUUCCACGGUAAGAAUUUUGAGAUCUCAUUGCACCUAUCAAUCUACCAUGCUAUAUAUUUCUAUUGCAAUUAUGGUGUGACUACAGAGUCUGUAUACUGUAAGUACAGAUCACAGAGGAUUAACAUGCAUGUAAUCUUGAUUUGUGUCGAAUUUGAAGGAAUUAUGAUGGCAACCAAUAUCAAUACACACUCAAUUUGAGACCAUCUUGCAUUCUUGUCUGUCAUUUCUCUCUUUUUCUUAGAACGUGAAAUUACAAUCACCGCAGCAAUCCAAUCAAUAAACAGUUACGAGGAGGGGGAAAUUAUCUUUGGAGGUGAAUUCUACUCCAACCAACCCAUGAUAUCACACAGCGCACACAACAAAACAAGUUUAUAUGUAGGCAAAGUACCCGGUUCAGCCGUGCCACUGCCGGCGGCUGCUUGGUCGCCUGAGCCCAUCCCAGCAAGACGCCGCCGGGGCUCCUCGCGGCCGAGGAACAGUGCAAGAAGCCGCCGAGUCUCAAGUUCAUUCGCGGCGGCGUCCUCAACGAGGGAAGACCGCCAACGGGCGCCGCGGCGCAAGAACCCGCCAUCGUCAUCCGGCCGCCGAUUCCAAUCUACGCAGAGGAGGGAGGGGGAGAACCGCGUGAACUGCUGUGCGUGGCGGCGCUCUCGUGACCAAACCGAGGAUGGCCGCGCGGCGCGGCGCAGGUCAUGUCAGAGGAGGGGGAGGGAAUUGCUGGGUGGGCUGGGGAUGAGACGAGAGAGAGGGAGGGAGGGAGUGAGACUGGACUGGCUCAAGCCGGUUUGGUCCUCUGGCGGCCUCGCUGGCUGCUGUGGUGCGCUUGUGGGGAGGAGCUGGACGCCUUUGGAUAAAAGGUGGCGCACCACCUUGUUUGCCGUUUUUGCGUGCCUCUUCUCUCGACUCUCGUCUAGUUGUUCUUCUACGUUUCUUAUCGAGAAUACUCUUUCUUAUUUUGAUUUUUUUGUCAGACUGUUUUAGGGUUUUUAUCUAGAACACCUGGCUUAAGGAUAGGAAAAAAUAAACCCUAUUCCAAAUUUCAGGGUUCAUUACUAUACUACUAUCACAUCUCAAAUUUCAUAUCAAUGAGUAUGCGUGCACUUCUUUUAAAAAUGCAUUUGUUUGUAUUGUUUCAAUCUAAAUCCAUGUGGUUGUGGCUAAGUCAAAGAGUCUAGCAAAGACAAUUGUUAGCUCUUACGCAAUCUUAUGAGUGUCAUUUAUACUGAGUUUUCUAAAAUUAAUGUUAUAUACUCCCUUAGCUCAGAAAUGAUAAUGUAUAUUUGAAAUUGGGGAAAAGUCCUUCAAAGUAGAUUUUGACUCUUAAUUUCUCUUAUAGUAUAAUGUUAAUAGCUUAUAAUGUUAAUAGCUAAAGACUCAAUAUCAUCUCAAAAAGACUUCGAGUAUAAAUAUAUUGAUGCAAAUUUUACACACUAAGUGUGCUUUUAAUUUAACUAAUUACUGACCAAAGUUUGUAGACUUUGAAUUUUCCUUGAUCAAAAUACGCCUACCAUUGGGAGUAAUUACAAACUACAAACAUUGUGUAAUUCAUCUACCAGUCAAGUUGGUAUUCAUUUAUUAUUUGUUUGAAGACUUCAGAAAUUCUGAAUUAUUUAUUUGAAGACUUCGGGAAUUCUAAGGUGACUAACCCUCCCUACUCUUGUUCUGCUUGGCAUAACACUACCUAUUUCUCACUAGUGUCCUUCAAAUCUCAAUUGUUUUCCCACAGUUAAAACACAUGUUCUAAAUCCAUAAACUACUACAUGAUAAAGGUCCACUCCAAGACUGGCAAGGUUUUGACCCAUCUAAUAAUCCUUUCAGUCUUCACUCUUCACAGACAUUCUAAAUGCUUAUAUAUUGAACUGUAGGUUGAAAUAACACCUGGUUCUGUUUGAACUUGAAUAGUUCAAAUUAAGUAUAUAGCACCUAUUGUAAAAAUAUCAAAAUGGAACACCCGGAUAGUUUCGGGCCUGGUCAGGUCUGGUUCAUGAGAAUGUUAGGUCAAGCCUGAGCUACCCAGUUGGGUUAAAUAACAUCUUUAAACCUUCGAAAACAAAUAUUUUAUUUAAAAUCAUUUAUUCAAAUAAACUCAUUAAAACUUAGAUGCACGGCUGCCGCCAGCAUGUGGGCUAGAAUAUUGUAUCCUUAUUUGGAACAGCUUCCCUAUUGCCUACUCCCUCCGUUUACUCCCUCCGUUCCAAAUUAUAGAUCGUUUUAGCAUUUCAAGGUUCAUAGUUUUUACAAUGUAUCUAGAUACAUACUAAUAGUUAUGAAUCUAGAUUUGCCAAAAUAACCUACAAUUUGGAGCGGAGAGAGUAUAUUCCUAGAACAAUUUUUCUAUCAACAAAAAAAUAGGUAUCUUAUUAGGAUGUAGUUUGGAACCAUGCCAAAUUGCAUAUUUCUUGUAGAUGCAAAAAUAAUAUAUUUCAUAUUUCUAUUUUUUUACUUUGUUGUAUUUUCUUUUUAUGUUUGGGGUAAUCUCUUUGGCUCUAAUGGAAGAAUAUGUAUUGUUUUGUAAGCCAAAUGUGUGUAUGUGAGUCAAAUACAUUAGUACUAAUGAUGAAUUUUUUGUAUUGUGUUAUGACAUGAAUUUGUUUUAUUGUUAAGAUCAAAUUAAAGGGUAUAAUCUCUUUGCCUCACAUGAAAUUAACAUUAUGUUCUUGUGUUAUUAAUUUGCCUUUGUGGACCAAGCGUAGCUUAAUAUAUUAGGUGACAUAAUCCACCUUGGUUUGAGACCGAGUCAUAUUUUUCUGGAUUUAAUUUAGGAAAUAAUGAAACUAUGCUUUCGGCGUACGACGUGAGCAACAUGCAUGUCGACAUUGAUGUGUCGUGCUUAUAGUGUUGGGUUUGCAGGGUGAGUAGAAAUGAGAUUAAAAAAUAUACAUUUUCCUUUUUAAUAAGAAAUAAUUUGUUUUUAACCUUCUUCUUCUGUUAAUGGCUCAGUUUAGUUUUUCGAGUUUGGUUGACCCGCGACGAAUGGCAUAGGGACCUGGCAGGGCCAGUUCUAAGAUUUGGGAAGCCCGGGACGAAAGUAAAACUCGGGACCCUUUAAUAUAAACAUUAUAACAAAUAUAUAUGAAAUGUUACCAAUAAAUAUUAAAUGUAUGUAAAAGCAAUAUUUAUAUCCUUUUCUUUUCCUUUCUCGUUACCUGAUUCAUAUUUUCUUGACGACAUGAUAUCCUACUGUGCAGAAAUUAUUAUAAAUAAAUAAUAGUUAUAAAUUAGUUAAGAUUAAAUAACUUGUGAUAGUGAAUUAAUAAUUAAUGGUAUGGGGAAUUGGCAAUUGAAUCACCUGAUCACAUAAGCGAAUUGACGAUCUCCUAUCUGAUCUCUGCCCGUCUGUCGUUGCACCGAGGGGCGACGGGUGUGCGAUGCGAGCAGGAGAGAGGACCACCGGCAGGAUGAGGCGUUAAGGAUGAGGGGUGCGGUUGAUGAAUCAGGUUCUUGUUUUAACCACGAAGUGGGCCCACCUUAAUGUCACCUUUUACCGUGAACCAUUGUGGGCGGAGCAUUAACAAAUAUUAUCUUUUUCUGAGACCCCACCUUAAUACUAUUUGGAACGUAAGCAAUAUUCAGUCGAUUUUUAUUUCCAGAUCCUGUGAUGUGUCAAAUCCGAUUGAUUUUUUGUUUCUUGUCACUCGAUCUUUCUCUACUGCCCAUUAUUGCUACGUUGCUUCACCCUGUUGGUCUAAAAUUCGACUAACAGCAUCCCAGAUUUUACUCGAUUGUUACAUAGUCAUUCCCGUAUCUCUAUCUUUGUUCACUUAUUUAUAGAAGGGAUCAUGAAAUCCAGAAAUCUGGCCCAGACUAUACACAGAGGUAUAACCUAAUUUAUUUGGAAUACUCACACUGAGCUUUAUUGUUAUAUAUACAUCAUGAAAUGAUCAGAUCAACAUGACGUGUGCGUGCUAUAGUCUUUGAAUCUAUGGCGUGCCCGCCGCGUCGCCGCCGAAGAGGCCCUUGUCGAACACCCAGUCCUCGAUCAUCUCCUGCGCGGCCCGCCCCUGCGCCGCCGGCACCAAGUGCCCGGCCCCGUACACGGCCACGUGCACGAGCGCGCCGUGCCUCUGCACGUACCCGGCGAGCCUCCCUCGCCCGCCGCCGCCACCUCUCCGUCUCCGCCACACAGCGCGGGGGGCGUCCCGGAACGCGGCCAGCCCGUCCCACUCCAGCUCCCGCAGCCAUGCCUCCGCCGCCACCGGCCCGUCCUGCGCGUCGCGGAUCCCCUCGUAGAGGAGGACGCGCGCCGACGCCCCGGCGAGCAGCGCCUCCACGUCCGGCUUGGCGCUCUUCAUCACGUCGUCGUGGAACGCCGCGUCCACCGCCGGGCUUACCAGCUGCCACGGCGAGCCGCCCUCCGACGCGCGCCGCGCUCCCAGCGCCGCCCUCACCUCGGCGCUGUUCAUGAGCGCCUCGGCCACGGCGGCGGCCCCUGCGAACUCGGCCUCCAGGGACGUCUCCACCGCCACGUCGAACAGCGACGCGAGCCCCGUGGCGUUCCGCAGCGACGACAGCAGACGCGCCCGCGCGUCCGACGCCUCGCGCCAGCGCGCCGCGUUGGUCAGCGCCACCGCCGCCGCUUGCAUCGCCUCGGCGUCGCGCUUCUGCUUGUCGUUGAUGAGCCCCAUGAAGUAGGCGGUGUCGGCGUGCGUGGCCACCUGCGCCACGGGGUGGACCAGGCCGUUGCCGAUGGCCACGCCCCGCAGGUUGAUCCGCCGGUGCUCCGGCAGCUCGGGGUUCGUGGCCAGUAUGAGCGAGCCGGCCGCGGGGAUGGACUUACCGGCGUAGCUCUCGCCGGUGAGGAAGAGCGGGCGCGCGCGGAACUCCGCCGGCUGGGCGUCGAAGAAGGACUGGAGCGCGGCGAGGACGUGCUCCGCGACGACGGACUGGUUGGUGGGGAUGGCGGAGGGAGACGGCGCCGAGCUGUAGCCGGUGCCAAGCGGGCUGUCGACGAAGAGGAGCCCGAAGCGGCGGUUCCACGCGAAAGGGUUGGGCGACAAGGGGGCGGAGCUGUUGUUGCGGCCGGCGGCGAAGGUGUAGGGGCCGAUCUGGAAGAAGUUGCUGACGAGGGAGGACACGCCGGGGCCGCCCUCGAGCCAGACGAGGAGCGGCGUGGAGGCCGGCGGGGUCACAGGGUGGGUGGCCUCGUAGAAGGCGAAGUAGAGAGAAGCGUUCGCCGGUGGGAUCGGGAGGUAGCCGGACUUGGUCGGGAGGGCUUCUCUGGGGAACAACGCCGCCGCCGCGGCUGAGCCAUGAACGGCGGGGGCGAGGAAAAUGACGACGAGGAGGGAAAACGGGAGAGGAGAUGCCAUGGUACGUGUUGCCUGAAUGCUGUUGCGUGCCUGUGCUUGAACGUAGUCUUUCUUACACCAUCAUCAGAGCGCCCUAAAUAUGUUUACGUGGCUGAAAAAUCUCGGAAGCCUAGCUGACAAAAGAAAAGUCUCUCAGACGAGUUUCCAAACACGCGGCGCCACAGUGCAGGUGAGGCAAAAGUUCAAUGCCAGGUGUGCUCAGAUUAUUGAACAAGAACUCAAUUGUUUUGCGUGUGUCAGUCAAGCUCCCAUGCAUUCCCUGUUGGACUAGAAAGGUGAUGAGCUAGUAGUAAUCAGUAGCAAGGUUGACCUGAUGAAUAGUGCAGUAUGCCUGGAUUUGUACAGGGUUCUGGUUUCAUUUUCUCACGACUACAACAAAAGUAAGUUCCAGUCUUCCACAGCCGCUCCUUCCAGAUGGUCGACCGUUCCGGUCAGUGAGAACAAUAUUUCUUCCCUGGUUGGUGAGCGGAGACAACAGGUGGAAGAGCUCUUGAAUCUAAUGCUGGAAUUUUGUAAGUUCUUAACUCAAAUGGGAGGCAAGAAAACAGAGACAAGAGCAGAGUACUGCAAAGUAGAACUAAAAAAACGACUAACAAGCACUAGCAAUAUUUUGCAACAACUCCCUCCGUUUCAAAUUGUAGGUUGUUUAAAUUUUUCUAGAAUUAUAGAUAUUAUUAUGCAUCUAAACAUACACUAUAUUUAUAUGCACAGUAAAAACUAAGCACCUAGUAAAAUCAAAAUAACCUACAAUUUGGGAUGGAAGGAGUAGCAAACAGCACACGUGCAGCUAUUUUUUUAGAAAAAAAAUGAUCAAUGGAGCUUGAGCUGUCUACAUAUAAUUUUGACUCGAGUUUGUUACGCCAUUGCCUGUACUUUGUACAGCUAUUGUCCAAGACUAGCACUCACAGUAGAUGCCAUGCAUAAGUAGCAAAUAUGAAUUUGAUUUAAUUUGAUUGCUUGCUAAGCACAGCAAGAUGGAGACCAGCUCCCUCAUGAACGAAGUUUUUUCUAAUCCAUUUGUCCGGAUAUAAUCAACAUUUAACAUCACUUCUUCUGAUUGUAACGGUGCUUCAUUACCUUAAACAUGUACAAAUACUAGUGAGGCGUUCAGAACGAAUCACGUCAUGCCAAAAGAAAAAAAAAACGGCCUCACUAGUUAAGUAGCAUUGCCAGAUUAAAGCAUUAUGUUACCUUGCUAUUAGUCAAGGUUCACAUGGGUGUGCGUAAACUAGGUUUCUAGGUUACGGUGAGCAUGAUGACAUAUACCAUAAGUUGCAUCGGAGCGCAGCAGCAUUUUCAUUUUCUUGAUUUAAAUACGAUAUCAUAUAUAUAUUAAGUUGGAACUAGGCUGAUUUAGAAAAGCCGUUACAAUGGCUAUUUCAGUGCUUGAAAACUAAAGAUUUAGAACUAGGCUGAUUUAGAAAAGAUUGUAUUGUUUACUUACAUUACUCAUAGGUUUAAGUGAACUAGCACAUACAAUGCUUAUGGCUCGAUGAUGGGAAAAAUCCAGUGCAAACUACUUCGGUGGAAACGUGAAAUUGUGAAACCUCCCCUAAAAGCCAUACCCUAAAGUUUCCAAAAAUUAAAAACAAUGUGCAUUCAGAAUAUAUUUAAAGAUUUACUUUGUUGCAAAUUUAAUGUAGAAAAAUCCAUACAAAAAUGACAGAAUUCGAAUGCAUGUGCACUAGGAGACAAAAUUUCUAGGCAUAUGUAUUCUAGUACACAAGCACUUGGAACUUUGUCAUUUUCAUAUGAACUUUUACAAAACGAGUUUGCAUCUCAACUUUGCAACAAAGUACAUCUAUGGAUGGAUAUAGAUGCGCAUCGUUUCAAAAUUUUUAAAAACUUCUAUAUAUUUUUUAAGAAGAAUUUUCAUGUUUCCACCGAAGAGGUGAUUUCCACUAAAUAUUUCCACAUAUCUACUCGCAACUUCAUCCAAGUAGAGGGCUGUUACAGAUACCCACCUAGCUCAUACCACCGGAGGAGCUGGCAAAAUUUGGAAGCCCACUACGCCCAUCGUUAACACAUUUACCACGAAAACCAUAUGCUCCUGGUGAACAGAACAGAAGAUCCUGAGAGUAAACAUAUCGGUUUGAACAGCCAAAUUAAAUUCCUCGGCCGUCAAGCUGGCGAUUCAUCGUCUUCGCGACAGCAAUAAGCAACCGCAGACGAUAAGAACUAUGAACAGGUUUGAAGAACCAAUUUUCCCACAUUAUUUGCUGACUUCAGCAUCGCGCUAAAUAAUACCAGAGUGCACAAUUAUUGAGCAAGCGAUUAUUAUGAAAAGUGCGCAAAUAUCAGAGUAUAUGUACAUCUGAUGAAUAACUUGGCGAAAGGUAAGGUGACCAGCUGAAAAUUCAGCUUCGAUGGCUCAAUCUAUUUGCACCAACUUAUGCUAUCAUUUGCAUUUCAUCAGAAGUCAAUGAAGCAGACAGUAACUAUCUACAGCUCAUCAUGGGUUUUUGCCUUAUCCAGGGUAGAAGCAGGCUGCUGGUGCUCGUGAAGAUAGCGAGCAGCCAUUGCUGCUUGUGCAGCCGCCCCGUAGGGGAGGGCAUCCUCGUUGAUGGUGAAGUAGGGUGAAUGAUGGGGCGCCUGUGGUCCGCGGGUCUCGUUGUACAUUCCCACAAAAUAGUAGUAGGUGGAGGGGAUCGCCUCGGCGUAGAAGGCGAAGUCUUCAGCACCCAUCAGCGGUUGCCUGUCCCUCACAUUCUUGGAGCCAACCAUCUCGCUGGCCACAUUCACGAAGAAAUCAUGGAGCUCAGGGCUGUUGAUGGUUGGGGGAAAGAAAGGGCGGUCCUUGGUGAGGAAGUCCACAGUAGCAGUGCACCGCUGCACAGAUGCUUGAGAGACAAUUACCUGGGACAUGAAAGACAGAGAGAAGCUGAGGAUCUGCUGCAGGACAAUCCACAGUGAAAUUCAAGUAAAUUGUUGAAAAACUCUUGAGGGGAAUAGUGGGUAAUUCACACAGAUAAGAUGACUGUCAGAGUUAUGACCAUUGUGACCGGACACUUCCAUCUGCUGACCUUCCAACACUUACUAGCUAUGAGAAAAUUUGUUUUGCAAGUGCAGUAAAACCAUUACUAAAGUGAAAGCUACAAGGCUGCAGCUGCAAUUUUCAUUAAAGUAGUGUAAAAGGAAAAAAAAAUCUAUUAUGCAUGCUCAAACAACAAACUACACACGGUCCUGUAUCCAUGCAAUUAACCUUAUUCAUGAAAGAAUAAGAGUCAGGAACUGCUCUUGUGUUCAAGCUAAAAGCAGUACAAUUGAGUAAAGAUGGAGAAUAAGGGAAUGCCCCACAUUUUAGAUGCGCACCAGCUUAUUUGUUUAUCUGGUUGUAGUAUAUAUUUAAAUUAGAUAACAUCCCAGUGCCAGAGGAUGAGGUGACACUUACAAGUACCCAUUUUUCUACAGCUAUCAAUAAAAUGUGCAAAUUCAUCUAUUUAAUAAUUACUACUGUAGUUAGUCAUAGUGAUCUUAACAAGAAGUUCAAGCAGUCAUUUAUUUAACGCAAUUUUGAGUCCUUUUUCUUCCAAGAGAACCUGAUCCGCACAAAAUAAUUAAGAAACUGACUAUUCAGUUACAAUAAGUUCCCAAGUAACUAAUGCUGUUACCUCUUCAAUUCGCUGCUUCAAUUGAUUAAAACUCUCUUUCAAAAAGGCCCGGAAGGUGCCACCUAUUGUUACUGAAUCAGGGAUAACAUUGAAGGCCCCACCUCCUUGAAAUUUUCCAAUUGUUACAACCUGCAGAACAAAGCAUGGACCAAAGGAAACAAUUUAUAUACUGGUUUGUAAAUUUGCCAAAGGUUCAACAUAGAGAAAGUGCUAGUCAGUGCACUGGACAAACUGAUGGGGUCCUGGCCUUCUGGGAGUAACAUAUUGAAUAAACAGCCAAAAUUCAGCUUCAAUGGUCCAAUCUAAUUUUACCUAUUUCUGCUAUCAUUUAAUUUGUAUAUGGAACUAAAAAUUCCUCUAUCAAACAACUUAAGAGUGUAAAACUUAAGUUUUGAAUGUUAUAUAGUAAUGGAUGUGGAACAAUUUGUGCUGCCUAGUUCUAAUAAGUACAAGCAAACUUGGGCUGGCCUCCUGGGUUGUUUCCAUACUAAGAGCAGGAUAAAAAGUUCAACACGAUCUUGACCAAUUUCAAAUAAAUCAUCUACACACAUAGCAAAAUCAUUUUGUAAAAAAUUUUCUAUGCUUGUUCUGCAAUUUAGACCAACAGAACAGUACAUCAUGCAACUUCUGCGGAAGGGAGUUAUGUCAAUCAUAUAAAUAGAUAUAGAGAAAGGUUGUCAAGAUCAUGAUUCAUUGCUUGGGAAUUUAUGGCAGGCAACAACAAAUUAAGUCGGUGAAGGGUAAGAUGGUACCUGUGAGUCCAAGGGAUCAGCUUCCCGGGAAACAAGUUGCUGAAGGCUCACAAUAACAUUUGAGGCAGCCAAUAUCGGAUCUAUAGUGUGAUGAGGAAGUGCAGCAUGCCCUCCCUUUCCACUUAUUACAGCCUCAAAGAAUCCACUCCCAGCCAUAAUAGGCCCUGGCCUGGAUGCCAGCACACCAAUAGGAAUAGAGUCAGCUAUGUGAAUCCCAAAAAUGGCAUCAAUAUUUUCCACUGCUCCAGCUUCUAUCAUUUUCUGAGCCCCACCACCACCUUCCUCGGCUGGUUGGAAAACAAGGACUACAGUGCCCUACAGUAAUCAACAUGAUAUUCAUAACCACUGAAAUUUGUUCUAGGUGAUAAAAAUUCAAUGAUUACAAGUCAAUUCAUAUAACUGAUAUGGAGGCAACUGAACUAAGUGAUUCGAUAAGGAGAAUUGCUGAUGGACUAUCAGGAUUAGUUGUGUGCUGUCUAAACAUAAUUACUCGCUUUCCCUAAGAACAGUAAUAUAAGCAAUUGACAAAAAUGCUAAAUCUAUUGCAAAAGGUUGGCUAAAGAAAUGAAGUAUAGACGAAUAAAAAAAGGCAGAAAGAAACAAUGUAUUGCAUUUCACAGAUUUAAACCUGAGAUAAAAAGAAUGAACAACUUCCUUAGACUAAAAGAAGCUACCUCUUACAAAAUAUACACCCAUUUUAAAUUACGCAAAAUAUAAGCAAACUACCAAUAGAUAAUAGUAUAGUACGCUCUGCAGUCUUAGGGAUCAAGGAGUUAAAAACUAGGAUUGGGUAAUAGUUAUCAGACAAAUGAAUUUCACUUCUAUAUUUCUUUCAGAAAGAAAAUGCCAAAAAACAGAGUCUGCAUCCUAAUCAUUUUCCAAAUCUUCAAAAGAAGUGAGAACAUGUAGCUUAAUGCAAUUAAAGUAAGGAAAAGAUCGCUAUAUACAAAGUGUUAAGCAUCUUCCAUAGGUUUUCUGAAGGCUAUUCUCUAAUUAUUUAAUUAACACAUCUAUACAAGUGUUAAGCACUUUUUAUAGGUUUUCUGAAGGGUAUCCUCUCAUAAAUCAAUUAACAAAUCUCCCUAUCAUUGGUGGACAUAAAUUUGGAGGUGGCAGGGAUGGUGCACAGGGAUUAUGUCUACAAUACAUAACAGGUGCUACGUAAACCAUGAAAAUCUAUUAUAUGACCAACACAAAAACAAAGUAUCAAAUAAACAAGAUAUCUGUCUCUGGCUGUCUGCUGAAAUGAAGGAUUGGACAUACAAGUAUACAACUGUUGCUAAACCUCAAUACUUCAACAAUUAAUGGUAUAUCCAUAUUUAAAGAAAAUUCUGAUAUCUCACCCAAAGUUUGAAAAUAUUAAUUAUUUCAGAAAUUUUCAUCGCACAAUGAGAAACUUACAAUUUCGCUUUGCUUUAUAACUAAAGAAAAAUAUUUUAACCAACCUUCAACUCAUCACGAUGCUCCUGAAGGAUCUUGGCAGAUCCCAAGAGCAUAGCAACAUGAGCAUCAUGUCCACAUCCAUGCAUUUUCCCAGGAACUUUGCUCCUGUGUUCCCAUUCCACGCUUUCCUGUAAAAAAAGACAUGAAUUUUAACUUGGACAGAUAUAAACUAGUCGAAUCUAACUUUGGGCAAAUGAAACUUACCGCAAUUAAAUUUAUCAAUAAUAAAUAACUGAAAAUUGAUAAUAUGCAUUAUGCAAGGUUUAAAAUUUGUGGCUUAGUACAUUGAGAAGCAGCUCUCCACAUACCGAACAUUAAUCAAUUGGAUCAUAUGAAUAAUAGACCUAUUGCACCAGAAAAAUAUAUAUAUCAAUACAGUUCAAUAAGCACAUCAUAGUUAUGCAAUCUACAUGAAUCACAUAUUUGUCUCAUACUCUCAUCACUAAUCACCACCUGCAACAUGAUUGAAGGCUCACUUGACUGCACAUAUGCAUAUAGGCAGCCCAUGUGAUUCCUCCCAGUGAGAAGCUAAAGUCUUUUCUCCGUAUGUUCCUAAUUAGGAGGGACAGGUAGCCAGCUAGGGAACUACUUAGGAGUAGGCUGGCACCUGUUCCACCCUUUUCUAACCAGGAUGUCUGCCGUGAACUAUAUGCGAUAUUGACAAUUUCCUAGACCAUUUCGAUAUCACACGUGCUGGCCUAGGUGACCCUUGGUCAUUACUUUGUAUUGCUCUGCAACAAAUUUCAAAGAGCAAACAUGUGCACCCUUUCCACUGCAAAGGUUGCGCAAACCCUGGAAGAUUAGUUGCUUUCUGGUGCACCCCAUAAGUUCUUUGAAAUUAAGGUUUUCCUCUUCUCUUAAAUCAAUCCUCAGAUGCCAAAUUUCGCAAUAGGGCCUCCAAUAUAGCACGCUAUACAGGUAGGCCGUUUUAUACCUAGCACGCUAGCAGAGCCUAUUAAGUACGUUGAUUGCAAAUUAACAGCAUUAAAAAUAUCGAACGAAAUGCAGUUUCCACUAUGCAAGCGGCUCCAAAAACAAACCCUUGUCAAACUAGAUGAGCACUACUGAGGACAAGAUACAAUUUUGAAGCUUGUGAUUGUUGUGAUUGGAACGAAUUCGAUAAAUAGACCAAGGACCUCCCGCCUCUAUCUUUAGCAAAACCAAUAUCUAUUUUCUUCAAUCAGCAGCAAAUUCAGGAAGCAGAGGAACCCAAAUAGCGGGCAAGAGCCAGCGCAACCGAAGAAGAAAUCGAAGGCAGCAACAGACCUGCAUCGGUAGCGCGUCCAUAUCCGCCCGCAGCGCGACGAAGGGCGGGCCGCCGGUGCCGACUGUCGCGACCACCCCGGUGACGGCGAAGGGGUGCUUGUAGGGGAUCCCCAUAGCGUCGAGCUCCCGGCGCACGAGCGCGCUGGUCUCGAACUCCUCGUACCCCAGCUCCGGGUUCUCGUGGAUGCGCCGCCGCACCCCGACCAUCCAGCCCGCGAAAUCCGGCUCCUUGGCCCGCCGCAGGAGCCCCGCGGGGUCCUCCAGCGCCGCCGUCGCCACCGAAGGCCAUCCCGCGGCGGCGAGGACGGCGAGGGCGAGGCCCGCCAGCAGGAGUGGCGGCGCAGCGGUGCCCAUGUUUUUUUGGUUGGUUCGGUUGCGCCUUGCGCGGUUGGUUUGCUGGUGAGUGAUGAACUGAUGAUGCGGAGGUCAGGUGAGGAGUGCGGCGGCUUCGCUUUUGACGAGGCAAACGCACACGACACGAGGGCGGCGGCUGAUUUUGUUUCUUCUCCCAUUUUUUUUCUUCUCCUUCCUUUUCCCUGUUUCGUGCUACUGCAUUUUUCAUCGCUCUGCUGGGGUGUGCGGUCAUUUCUGCUUUCGACCAAUUUUUCCUUUCUGGGCAGUCUUUUGUUCCGAGACGUUUUGGUUGAUUUGAUGCCCAUGGAAUGUGUCAUCUGAACGGAUGGUUCUUGUCGUUCAGCCAUUUGCAGGAAGAGGUCCUUGUUGCAGAGUGCUUGUGCUGUUGGUUGUCACCAAUUUUGCUUUGAGCAGCACAAUUGGAUAUUGGUCCCAAAUGGACAGCACAGGCCCAAGCCCAACCCAGAUCUAAUUCGCCGGUCCACACCAUUUCUGUUGACUUGUUGAGUGCUCCCGUUGUUUGUCAAUCUCUAUCUCUUCCCUAUCUCUAUAUCCAUCUCUUCUCUAGCUCUAUCUCUAUUUUAAAGCAAUGAUAGAGAUAGAAAUAUAUGUUGUACUAAUAUUGCGGACCCGACCUAAGCUCCCUGGGCUAAGCCACAGCCCGGCACUUGGCCUAGGAGCGCAUGGAGCCGAUUUUUGCAUGCCCAAAAACAGGUGUGGCCCAACUAAUCAUUUAACUUUUUUUUUUUGGAAAAGGUCCUCUCGUCGUCCCUCAACUAUUGCCGUAGUCUGGGUUUAGUCCCUCAUGUGCAAAAUCGGGUAUUCGUAGUCCCUCAACUUCCAAAACCAUUUGUUUUUGGUCCCUCACCGUUUUUUCGCAUGAUGUGGUAGUGGCCCCAUAUGCCAUUUGGCUUUCUUCUCCCUCUCCUUCCUCCUUCCUUCAUCAUCUUCCUUCUCCCUGUAUCCCUGCUCCCCAACGCUCGUCGCCGGGUCUUGGCCGCCCGCAGGUUCCAUGUCUACGCUGAUUGCCGGAUUCGGUCUCGAGCCGACCACGCCGCAGUGCGGAGCCUGGCCAUGGCCGCACCAUCCCUUCCGCCCUCAGCGACCGCAGUGCCCCCGACGUCGUCCCAACCUCCUUGUGCCCCUAGGUCACCACCAGGGGCCAGGCUGUGCCGCUCAAGCUAGCUGACCAUCGCCGGGUCAGGGCCGCUCGUGUCUACGUUGGUCGGCGGAUCCAGCCGUGAGCCGGCGAUGCCGCAUGCCAUGCAGCCGUUGGGGUCUAGCCAUGCUUGCGCCAUCCCGACCGCCUCGCACCCUCGACCACCACCGAGGACUGGUGCGUCGGGGCCCACCCGCCUUGUGCUGCUUGAGAAAGGGAAGGAAGAGAGAGGGACUGAGGGAGGAGGAAGAGAGGGGGAAGAAGAAAUUCAUAUAGCAUGUGGAGCCUACCGCCACCUGUUCUUGUGGAGCCCACGCCCAAGUCAUGUAAAACCACCGUCAAAACGAGUGAGGGACAAAAAUAAACAGGUUCAAGAGUUGAGGACUGCGAAUACCUGAUUUUGCGUAUAAGGGACUAAAUCCGAACUACGGUAAUAGUUGAGGGACGUCCGGAGGAUCUUUUCCUUUUUUUUUUUCAACUGAAAUGGUUGGUGGACCGAGCUUGGCCCAAAAAAUUCGAUAGUUCUGGCCGAUAAUUUCUUUUGUCGCCUUCGCCGAUGGCCAGCGCACCGGCAUGCGGCUCUCCUCUCCUCAGCAGCGGUGGCCGGAGAGCCGGACGCCGGUGGUCUCGUGCACGCAGAGGGCGCGGCCUCGGCCCUCGGGGACAUCGUCCCGGUCCUACAACCCCGUCCUGGCCACAUGAACACGCCGAGUCCGCAGCCGUCCGCGCGUGAUGCGGUGGCAAAACCAAGCAGGCUCAAGUCCACAAGCGCAGCAGCCAAGAAGAGAGGAUAGCGACCGUAGGAGCAGCGUGCAUGCCGCCCUCGCGUGCCGCGGCUGGCUCGUCAUGACUGAUAUGUUCGUUUUCUACUUCAUGUAUGAUCUGCUGGUAAUUAUCAUCGCAGCAUAUUUUGGUCAAUGGUUCUUCUUAUUCGCCUUUGCAUGGUUGGAUGAUGGCGUCGUGAGAAAGCUUCACCAGUUCCAUCUCCAUGCAUGUGUUGCUAUGCAUUCUGUUUUUUUUUUUGCUGCCAUGAAAUGUUCUGGUUACAAAACUUCCGUUUGCACAUUCCCGCAAGAAUAUUAACGUGGUGACUGGUGGGCAAUAUCAAAUUUUGCGUAUGACUGAAACGAUUGUUUGCAGCAGCAAUCUGGGGCGGAUCUAGCGGUGGGCGGUUGUGGCUCAAGCUCCUCCUACAGCUCCGGACGCAAUGGAGCCUCUCGAGUUCAGCCCCUCCUACAGAGGAAGAAGCGAUAAAAGAAAGCAAAGAAAGAGAAGGAAAGAAAGGAGACGAGAAAUGGUAAAGAUCCUACAAUUUGCAUGAUGUUUAUGGCUGUAUGUAUUUAACUUGAAUCCGUCAAAAUAAGUUGCCCUGCGUGCUUUUGCAGAUUUUUGGAUUCGAGCUGUCAGAUUUUUAUCGUAAUACAAGGACGACCUCCAAGCUAUAAUCGAAAUAAGUUUUGUUCGUGUGACAUCAUAUUUACUAAAUCACAUAUUCAUGCGGCGUGGCUGACAUAAUGGGGCAUGGCUUCAUCGAUUAAGUAAAAAUUUGUUGGUAUUUUCCUAGUUAUUAAUAAAAUAUCAUAGCCUUGUGCCCACACUAUGGGCAGGGUGAAACGAAAUUAGAGUAUGAAUUCAAACCGCAUAGCCAUCAAAAUUUAAUUAACUGAAGUUCGUGGACAAUUUAUUUCAUGACCACUAGUACAUGGAUACACAUUUCAUAGCAUAGAGAAAAAUCGUACCGUACGGAUGCGGAACAACCAUCAACACCACUGCCGCCGGCCCACUCUUUUUAAGAAGUAUAUAAAUAUAUUAAAAGGAGUAAAUAUUAAAAUAAAAUCUUUUCAAAUUUAUGCAUGUUAAAUUUGGCUUUAAUUUAAUUUCCAGCAAAAGAUUUUCCAUUUGGCUCCAGUUUUCUCGAACUACCGUCGCUCGGCUCGGACUCCGACUCCGCCCGUCGGUGGUCCAGCUCCUGGCCACCCACGCCGACAUCAGCGGCCGCGGCGACUGCGGCCGCUUCCUCGUCACGGAGUGCGCCGGGCCGAUGAACCUGCGCCAGCACAUGGAGCUCCGGCGCCGCGAUGGCCUGCCGUUCGAGGAGGGCGAGGUGCGCGACGCCAUGCGCCAGCUCCUCGCCAGCGUGGAGAGCGCGCAUGGCGCGGGCGUGCUCCACACGGAGAUCGUCCCGGAGAACGUAGCCGUCGGCCAGGAGGACGUGGUCUCCGACGGAGCGGUCGUCGGGAGGAGGAUGGUCUACAAGAUCUGCGGCUUCGGCAUGUCGGAGCCGGCGGCGCUGGCGGCGGCGGAGAAGGACGACUCCGGGCUGCUGGCGUCGCCGAGCCCGUACCGCGCGCCGGAGCCCUUCCUGGGCUCCAAGGACUACGACGGGCGGGUCAACACGUGGGGGCUCGACUGCAUCAUGGCGGAGCUCCUCGCCGGCACCGGCGUGCCGUUCUUCGGCUGCAAGCUGGACACCGGGGUCCUCGAGAAGAUGCUGUACGUGGUCGGCGCCAGGGGCAUCGUCAAGUGGCCGGGGCUGGACCGGGUGACGGCGCACGACCAGGCGGCGCGGCUGCGGAAGCUCUACCGCCGAGACCGCGGCCACCUGCGGCAGGUGUUUCCGAGGGAGGUGCUCUCUCUGGCAGGCUACAAGGUCUUGAAAGGGCUGCUGCGGAGUCACCCUGAUCGCAGGCUGACGGCCGCGGGCGCCCUCCGCAUGCCAUGGUUCCGGCGCCGUGGCUUGGGUGGCUACUUUGGUGGAGCGGUCUUGUCAGCCAACUAGCCAUGAUCUGAGUGUUCUCAGGGUGGUUGAUUUUUUCCCCAAGAUUUGUGUAGCGAGUAGAUAGACUUAAGGCUAUCCGUACUCGUCAUACUCUAUUUCCAUACUUUACAAAGAACUAGCAAAAUGCCCGUGCGUUGCUACGGUGAAAUGAUAAUCAUAUUUUUAAAACUCGUGGGUUUUUUUCCUAUUUCUAUCACUAUAUAUUUAUUGCAUUUCUGUUAAUAUAUAUCCUUAUACUAAAAUAAUUAUUCAUUUCUCAAACACAAUAAACCAAAAUAUUUAUUGUUUGAUGCUUUCUUGCUAUGCGUGUUUGGUUAAUUAUUUGUUUACGAGGAGAUAUGUGUCUAGCUGUUGUUCACAAGAAAUAGUGUCCAAGUAUUUUAAAUGAAGCUUAAAGUUUGAAAGGUGGGCUAUUUAGAUUGUCAGAAGUGCAUUGGAAAUUUCUGAAACUAAAACUGGAAUGUUCAGUUCCUGGUUGCCCGUGCGUUGCUACGGGUCAUUACUUGCUCUCACGUUAUUAUACGUUUGUUUAUAAUAUGUUAGCUUCGCUUCACAAUAUGUGGUAGACAAUUCAUCAAAGAUGAGUGGCAAAAAAGACCAUUACUCCAUCACCAUUAUGAAGGAAACAACAAUUACCACCCAAAUAUGAAACGUAUAGGAAGAUAUCAGCAAAUACUACAUAUCAAACAACAGUGACAUCAUCAGGAAUACUGAAUGCCUUAACAGAUAUCGGUUGUACCUAUUUGGUGAGGACCUCUGAAUACACUAACAGAUAUCGGUUGUACCUAUUUGGUGAGGACCUCUGAAUACACUAUAUUCUUUGUGUAUCUAUCGGUUGUGUCUUUUUGAUUCACCUUUUUCUUAUUUGAAACUGGAAUGUUCAGUUCCUGACCGAAAGUCAGAGCUCUCAAUCUUCCAAACCAAAGAUCUUUUGAGCAAAGUUCCUAUCUAGAACUUGCAGCCCUAUAGUACCUCUACAAGUUUGGUUAAAGGUGCUUGGAGAGUUUGUUAUUGGAUUUGGAUGAUCUGUGCUCGAGAAAAGGUAGCCUUUCGGUGCUUUGGAGAUAAUUGACAGGAGCAAAUUCUAAAGGUUCAGUGUAACCGGUGUUUUUCCCAAAGUUCAGAGACUUUUAUCUUUCGAUCCUAUGGAACCAAAGCCCUAUCUAACACAUGUAGCUCGUUGAUCCAGAUACAUCUUUGUAUAAAGACGAUUUGCAAGUUUAUGUUUGGAUUUGGACAAGAAUCGUUGGGGAAGGGACUGCUUUUCUGUAUUUCUGGAGCAGCUACAAGCAGCAAUAGCAGCUCGCAGCACUGCCACCACUACUUAAGCCUCCGCGGUGAAAAUCCUCACGUGCCACAUGCCGGCAAUGCCGCCGAGGCUGCAUGCAGGGCAGCGGCAGAGUGUCCUGCUCCGGCUGCCACCUGCGCCCAAUCCUCCUCCUUCGCCUCUCAAUUUUGAAGAAAGGAGAAGCUUUUUGCCCUUUAGCGCCCUCCCUUCCCUCCUUUUUCCACCUGAGCCCCCCUCUCUUCAGAAUUUGGAUUGCGGGUUGAUUCCAUAAAAAUUGAGGAACUUUUUUGCAAAAUGACCAUGACGUAUGAAAAAAAAACUGGGCAGAAACCUUACUUGCUUUAUGGAAAAAACAUGUUAGUAUGACAUAUUUUCACUUAUAUAUAUCAAAAUGCCCGAGCGUUCCUACGGUGAAAUGAUAAUCGUAUUUUUAAAACUCAUAUUUUUUUCUAUUUGUAUCACUAUAUAUUUAUUGCAUUUCUGUUAACAUAUAUCCUUAUAUUGAAAUAAUUAUUCAUUGAUGGCCAUCAGCCGUGGCUUCUUCUCAGGGUCGGACCCGUCGUACUGCUUCAACUCCUCUUGAGUCUUAAUUGUUUGCCUUACCGUUUUUGGCCCAAUAUCUCCCCCGACAUGGCAGCUUAACUUCGCACCUGGCUCGUAGCCAUCCAUCUGGAUUGGGCGGUCGAGACACUCAUGAUGCAAAACACAACUCGGACACUCGUGAUGCAAAACACAACUCGGUUCCAGCAUCUCAUGUGAAAUCCUAAGGUGACGUUUGGACGGUGGAUGUGAUAUGAAAAUGGAUAUAAGAUGGGAUACGGAGAAGUAGAUUAUGGAUUGGGAAAUAAAACUCCAAUCCGAAUCCAUGGUUUGGCUGUGCUUAGGAAAUGGUUUGGAUUUAAAGCGGAACCCACGUGCAAUAGAAAAAGAAAGGAAGAGGACUUGGCCGUUUUCUCUUUUUGAUGCAACGGCACCGUCAUAAUCCAAACUGCGAGGCACCCUUAUCUCUGGUUCUCUCUUCUCUUCGUCCACGCUGGACCUUACCCCGUAUUCGUGUUUAGGUUCUUUAAUUUGGGUCUAGAUUUUCUACGGGACCCACAAACUAAUUAAAAAAAGGACGGUCCUUAUCUUUUGGUGCCUUGUUCGUUCACAACCACAUGGUGCUACUCGAGCUCCGAGGCGAGCAGCACACUCUGCCAUAGCACGACAAGACCGAGGCCUUGUUUACUUUCCAAUUUGGGAGUGGGAAAAUUGGCAUUUUGCCAUAAAUGCGCAACUGUAGCGUUUCAUUUGUAUUUGUGAAUUAUUGUCCAAAUAUUGACUAAUUAGGCUUAAAAGAUUCGUCUCGCAAAGUACAACAAAACUGUGCAAUUAGUUUUUGAUUUCGUCUACAUUUAGUACUCCAUGCAUGUACCGCAAGUUUGAUGUGAUGGGGAAUCUUCUUUUUGCAUAGUGUCAAAAUUGGGAGUUUGGAAGGAAGUAAACAAGGGCCGAGGCUUCAGCUGCGUGCGAUUCGAGUGGCGGCGGCGACCACUACGCGCGGCACCUGCGGUGGCGAGCACCAUGCGUAGCAUCUACCGUGGCUGCGCUCCCGCUCGUGUGGCUGCGGUGGCGGUGGCUUCGCUUCCCUCCGCAUAACUCCGAGCGCAAGCCAUGCGGCGAGCUCCGACGUCCACAGCAUGCUCCGGUCCCGACACUUCAAGCUGCUGCGGUUCCUCUCGCUUGUGCGCGCGUGUGGACAACGCACGGGCAUCAGUAUUAUGGGGAGCUCCAGGCGGCGGCUGCGGCGGGGGAGAUCCGGGCGGCCGCGGAUGGGAAGCUCCAGUUGGCGAGCUCUGGGUGGCGGCUUCAGCGGGGGAGAUCCGAGCGGCUGCGGAUGGGGAGCUCCAAGCGGGCGCGUGGCGCCGCCUCGGCAACGGGCGGGCGGCGCGGCCGUGGUGGGGCUCCCCGCUCCGGCCGCUGCCCGCGCCCCGUCCCCCUCCUUCGCCUCCUUGUUUUGGAUUGGAGAAAGGAGAAGUUUUUUCCCUUUAAACGCCCUCUCUUUCCUCCUUUUUCAAUCCGACACCCAGACUAUUCAUAAUAAUGGACUGCGGGUUGAUUACACAAAACAUCAGGGUUUUUUUUGCAAAAUGACCACGAUGUACGAAAAUCCAGGCAGAGGCGUUACUUGCUUUAAUAAUAGGUAAAGAUAUUCUAUCCUAGUCAUCAAGAUUCUCUCCUCUAUAUCAAUUUCUCCAGCACCCGUGUUACUCUAUAUCUUAUACUCUAUACCAACUACCACAUAUUUUAUUCCCCUCCCUCCCUCUUUCCUUCUACCCAGCCGUUCCCCUCCCCCUCCCGAUGCCUCCUGGGCCUCCUCCCUGCCGGCUCCUUCCUCUUCCCUGCCGUCCCCCUCCUCCUCCCCGACGGUGGCGGUGACGGAUCCAGCGGUGGCGGCGGAUCCGAGCAGAGGCGCGCGGGGGGGGGGGGGGGAAGGGGGGGGGGAGGGAGGGGGGGGGGGGGGGGGGGAACAAGAGGACUUGGGGUUGGGGGGGGGGGGGGGANNNNNNNNNNNNNNNNNNNNNNNNNNNNNNNNNNNNNNNNNNNNNNNNNNNNNNNNNNNNNNNNNNNNNNNNNNNNNNNNNNNNNNNNNNNNNNNNNNNNUAACAAAGCCCAUUUCCCCACAUUUAGCCCAACACUGGACUAGUCAACACGGAAGCACCCCAACGGGGGUUGCAACCCAUCCCAUGGGGCCGGAACCAGGACCUAAGUCAUCAAGAGCUUAGUCCUUUUCCAAGGGCUCCCCGUUGCUCACCAGCACACCUAAAGCCCAGCAGUUUAGCUAGUGGGGUCUAUGGUAACCCGUUGCCCACACAACGGUGGAGUGGUUGCACGAUGAUGGAAUUAGACAGGGAUGACACAUCAACUCGGUCCUUAGCCAUGACAAGAUGGAUAUCUCCCACUGUGGUCAACCAGUCAGGUACGGGGCGUUGGGGCUGGCGGUGUCGGGAGGUGGGUAGCGGGCGCCCUGGGCGCCCGCCAGGAGUAGCGGACCAUUGGCCCUCCGCUUGGGUAGCGGACGCCUCCCGGUACCACAGUGCGGGGUUUUUUCCACUACCGCGUACUGAGGAUCGUUUACAGGGUGCCGGUGCGGACAACCUAAUGCUGUGAAAGGGUUAUAAUGAUGUAUGUUAUUCGUCCUGCUUGUAAUGUGACGUUCUUCAUCUUCUCACAAAUACUACAAGUUAAUUUAGGUUUUCAAUUCCCUAAUUCAAAUCUUAUAAACUUUGAUUAGAGAUUUCUAUAAAAAAUAUUCUUGAUAAAAGAGUUGCUGUUAUGAAUUCAUUUCAGAAAAAAAGUUGCUGUUAUGAAAAUAACUUUAUAAUCUGUGCCACUCAGGACUUUAGGGCAGCGUUCUUUUUUUGUUGUGGAUCCCUGGGAAGUGAUUUUGCACUGCAGCCUCCAAACGGUAGCCAGUUCAUCGAACUCUGAUAGUUAAAUUUGACCGCAGCAAUGGAGCUGCCCUUACUCAAAAUAGCCCACCAAUGCCAUCACCUAUCCUUACACAAAAAGCAAAGGACAUUAUCGAGGAUUAACAGCUAAAAGCAGCAAUCUAGCCCCACGCGAUGCAGGGAUACAAACAGGCCCAAGCUUUUACCAAUCCAUAUUUUAUAAGGCACAUACUACAUACCAUAUUUUUGAUAAUAUCUAACUAAUCCAAACAUGACCUUAAGUCUGACACAUACUCUCCCCAUAAAAAAAAUCAAGAGCAAAUAAUGAGGUAAAAUAACUUUAUUUGCCUCUAUUUAUUAACUAUAUUAUUUGGUAGUAACUGAUACCGUAUGCACAUGCACAUACCAAAUGUGACAGAAUGACUUGUUUUUGAUAGAUUUUGAAUCUUAGAAUGAUUAUUUUUUUGGACGGAGAACGUAUAGUAUUAUGGAGCACCAAGUGAUAAAUCUUGUUUCAUGCGAAAAAUGCAAGAACCAAGACCUAAGCCUCGUAAAAAUAAUCAUUUAGCGAACAAACACAUUUAAAACAACGGAUUGACCAUGUACGUUGACCGUAUAGCGCAGUGGAUAUCGCAUUUCACUACGAAUCAGAAGGUCGCGUGUUCAACGCCCACUGUGCCGAAAAUCGUAUGCUAAUGCUACUGAAGAAUUGAACAGAUGAUGAGCUGGCAAACUAGUUCCUGACCAUGAAAAGGCGACGUUUGCAUGUGCAUAAACUUAACAAGAUGAAGAACCAAAACUAAAUUACUCGGUAGUUCUCACCCAAAUAGUAAAAAACUGUCAAUUCAUCAUCUGCACAAGAUUAUAUUUACUCAUAAAUAUGACCGUAGCAUCGCACUAUUCCCGCAUGCCGCAAGAGAUAAUUAUCAAACUGCGCAAAUUUCAGAAUGUAUAUACAGCUGCUGAAUGACUUGGCGAAAGCUAAGGCUCACCAGCAAAAAUUUCAACUUCACGGUUCAAUCUAAGGGUGCAUUUUGCCGAGCUUCCAGAGCUGAUUCUCUGCUGAAUCUAGCAGGAGCUCUGCCAAACAGUUUUUUCAGGAAGAAAUGAUUCUCUGCUGAUUCUGUGAAGUGAUUCUCUGGAAUGAACUAAGAGACUUGGACUGAAAAAAGUAGCUUCUCCCGUGAAGUGAUUCUCCAUCGUUUAUGCUAGAGAAUCAAAGAGAAUCACUUUCAACUAUAAAAUCACUUCUCUUGAAGCUCCCAUAAAAAAUCAGAAUCAAAUGGAAUUUAAUCAGAAUUCAACAAAGCAGGCAGCAUCUAUUACAGCUUGUCACGGGCUUUCGCCCAGUAUAUAUCUACAGCUCGUCAUUGGGCUUUCACCUUAUCCGGGGUAGCAGCAGGGUGCUCAUGCUCGAGCAGAUAGCGAGCAGCCAACGCUGCUUGCGCAGCCGCGCCGUAGGGGAGGGCAUCCUCGUUGACAGUGAAGUAGGGGGAGUGAUGAGGCGCCUUCGGUCCACGGGUCUCGUUGUAUAUGCCCACGAAGUAGUAGCAGGUGGACGGUAUCACCUCAGCAUAGAAGGCGAAGUCCUCGGCGCCAUCAGUGGCUGCAUGUCUCUCACGUUCUUGGAGCCAACCAUUUCGCUGGCCACACUGACGAAGAAAUCGUGAAGCUCAGGGCUGUUGCUGGUUGAGGGGAAGACAGGGUCCUUGUUCAGGAAGUCCACGGUAGCACUGCAUCGCUGCACGGAUGCUUGAGACACGAUCACCUGGGACAUGAAAAACAGAGAAUAGCUGAGGAUCCUCUGCAGGACAAUCUACAGUGAAAUUUUCUUGAAGUAAAAUGUUGAAGAAAGAGGGGAGUAGAUGAGAACUCAGCACAGAUGAAUGUCAUUUCUGACCAUUGUGACCCAAUCACUUCCGUCUACUAACCUACCAACCUGUAAAAACAAUGAAAACCUGUUUUCCAAGUGCAGUAAAACUAUUUCUAAGGUGAAAGCUACAAAUCUAUAGCUGUAAUUUUCGCUUCAAUUAAAAUGUGAAAGAAAAACUUCUAAUCUGAGUACUCAAACAACAAAUUACAAGUGAGUCUGUAUCCAUGCAGCAUGUGUUCCAGUAUUGGCAGCACAUGUUCCUUAUCCAUAAACGAAAGUUUCUACGUGAGAGAAUAAGUGUCAGGAACUCCUCAAAUCGCCAGCAGUGUACAAUCUAACAAAGAUGGAGAAUAAGGGAAAACACCAAAUUUUAGAUGCGCACCAGCUUCUUUCUUCACCAUAUCCUUGGUUGCAGUAUAUACUUAAAUUAGGUGUCAGCCUAGAGCAUGAGGUGCCACUUACAAGUACCCACAUCUUAAAGCUAUCGAUAAAUGUGCAAAUUGAUCGUAUUUGAUAAUUAAAUAUUCUAGUUAGGUAUAGUGACUAGUCAUCUCAACAGCAAGUUCAAGUAGAUAUCUAUUUAAGGCAACCUUUUAGUCCUGUUUAUUUCUAAGAGAGCCUAAUUCCCAGAAAAUAAUUAAAAGAAACUACUUAAAUAGUAAGACAUAGUAUCCAAGCCAAAAUGCCAUUACCUCUUCAAUUCGAUGCUUCAGUUGAAUAAUACUCUCUUUCGAAAAGGCUCGGAAGGUGCCACCUAUUGUUACUGAAUCUGGGAUCACAUUGAAGGCCCCACCUCCUUGAAAAUUUCUAACAGUUACAACCUGCAAAAUAAAGCAUGGACCAAACCAGAAGGAAACACUUAUGUGCUGAAAUGUAAACAAGAAUAAAUUCCCAAAGUUUAAUAUAGCAGCAGUACUUCAGUAAGUACACUGAACAAACUGAUGGGAUCCUGGGAGUAGCAAUCAAAUAAACAAUUUGUAUAAUUCUUGUGGUGCAAAAUCAAUUUUUGUAUUUGGUACUACAAAUACCUAUAUUGAGCAAUUAAUGAGUGUAAAACUUAAGUUUUGGAAAUUGUAUAAUAAUGGAUACAGAAGAAUAUGUGCUGCCUAGUUAUAACACGUCCAGGCAAAUUAGGGCUGGCCUGUUGGGUAGUCUUCUAGGUUACAUGUUAGUAGCAGGAUAAAAAGUUCAACAAGAUCUUGACAAAUUUCAAAUAGAUCUCCCAACACACCUCAAAUCAUUCCAUAAAAUUUGUUCUAUUCUUGUUCUGUAGUUUAGACCAACAAAGCAGUACAUCACGAAACUUGUAUGGAAGGGAGAUAUGUAAAUCAUAUAAAUUGAAAUAGAAAGAGUCAACCAAGAACAUGCUUCCUUGCUUGGAAAUUUAUGGCAUACAACAACAAAUUAAGUCGGCCAAAGCUGGGACAGUACCUGUGAGUCCAAAGGAUCAGCUUCCCGUGAAACAAGUUGCUGAAGGCUCACAAAAACAUUUGAGGCAGCCAAUAUUGGAUCUAUAGUGUGAUGAGGAAGUGCAGCAUGGCCUCCCUUUCCACUUAUUACAGCCUCAAAGACUCCACCCCCAGCCAUAUAUAAUAGGCCCUGGUCUAGAUUCCAGCACACCAAUAGGAAAAGAGUUAGCUACGUGAAGCCCGAAAAUGGCAUCUACGUUUUCCACAGCUCCAGCUUCUAUCAUUUUCUGGGCCCCACCACCACCACUUUCCUCAGCUGGUUGGAAAACCAGGACUACUGUACCCUACAGUAAUCAACAAGAUAUUCAUAACCAUAUAAAAUUCGUAGGUGACUAAAAUUCAAAGAUUAAAAAGAUAAUUCAUAACUGACAUGGAAGCAAGUGAAUUAAGAGACUUAACCAGUAGAAUUGUCGAUGUGGACUACCAGGUUUAGUCGUGUGCUGUCCAAGCAUAAUAAUUACUUAAAAUCAAUUUUUGACAGACUAAACAGUCGUACUCACUUUCCCUACAAACAGAAACAUAAGCAAUUGACACAAGUUCUAAAUCUAUUGCCGAGAUUAAAAAUAUUGAAUAUACUGAUAAAAAAGCAGAGGGAGGUAAUAUAAUGCAUUUCAUAGGUCUACCCCUGAGGGGGAAAAGAAUGACUUUCUUGGACAAAAGAAGCUACCUCUUACAAAAUAUAGCGUCCAUUUUUAAGUUGUUCAAAAUAAAAUAUAAGAAAAACUACAAGUAGAUAACAGUAGGGAAUGAUCACAAUAUACAAGUGCUAACAUCUUCUAUAGGUUUUGAAAGCUAUUCUCCCAUUAAUUACACAAAUCUCCCGUAUCAUUGCUUGGACAUACAUAACAGGCACUAGGUGAACAACUGAACAACAGAAUUAAUGUGAGGAACCUCCAAGUUACACCCAUUUAAUCAAGUCAUCAACCAUUGAUCAACUUAACUAAAUAAGAAUAACUCCGGUCGUCCUUGAGAUGUGAGCAUUGCCUAGGAUUUAUACACACCUCACAAGCACAACAAGAUGAACACCAUCACAACAUAAGCAUUACACACAUAGUCCAUCACCUUACAUAAAAGAGUUCAAGUCACGUACAUAACAAGUUCAUAGAGUUUGCAACGGAAAGUUCUAUCAUCGCUCUCAACAUAUGAUACAACACAAAAUAAGAGGGUUAACACUAUAUGCUGAUAGUGCCUUCUCAUAGCCAUGUCCAUCACUUCCUACCCACACAUCCAUCCGUGGGGAAGAAGUACCCAAAGGCGGCCUCCAGCUGCGGAUCACCUGCAACAACUUAAUGGCGGCACCGUGAGUACAAAAGGUACUCCGCAGGUCUUAUCUAAGUAUGGGUAUAUACUUGCCCGACUCUCAAGGAGAAUGCAUUUGGUUAAGUAGCAAGGAAUGAGAGGGAGAGAGAGCUGCAAGGAGCUCUGGUUAGGCUUGAGACGUGGGCUGACGUUUGGGGUCCGUGGGGGAGACGUGGCGCAAAAGUUUUGCGCACGCGACACACACCACAGUGUGCUGGCGGACCAUCCGCGGUUGACGUGGCAAAGGAGUUGAGUGAGUCAUGCUUGACCGAGGUCAACAUGAUGACAUGUAUGGCAGACCGUCCGGCCCCCAUGGGCGGACUAUCCGCAGGUACCCAAAGAAAGCAUCAACUUUUAUUUAUUUGCAACUUAAUUUAAUGCUUAAUGAUGCUCAUGAUGACAUGCUUAACUUAAACAAGAUUAAGGCCUUUUACAAUUAAUCUAAUACCACCAAAAAUAUGCACCAAAACUAUGUCCCCUGGAAGGAAGGAUUGCACAUCCAACUGUUGCUAACCCAUUUACGAUUUAUUCAUAUUUAAAUUCAAAUUCAGAUAUCUCACUCAAAGUUUGAAUAGAGAACAUCAAAUAUUUCAGAACUUUUAAUUAUACAAUAAGAAAUUCUCAUUGCUUUAUAACUAAAUAAAAAAUAUUUCAACCAACCUUCAACUCAUCAUGAUGCUCCUGAAGAACCUUGGCACAUCCCAACAGCAUAGCAACAUUUGCAUCAUGUCCACAUCCAUGCAUCUUCUCAGGAACUUUGCUCUUGUGCUCCCAUUCCACGCUUUCCUGUAAAACAAGACAUCAAUUUUAACUAAUGGUCAAAUACAGAAUAAUUGCACUUCAGAAUCCAGAUUGGGCUACCGGAGUUUGCCACGAUUAAAUUGCUUGACAGGUUGCACAAACACUAGAAAUCUAAUUGCUUUCCGGUGUACAGCACAAGUACUUUUAAUCUAUGGUUUCCCUGAACUCAAUCCUCAAUAGUCAAAUUUUGCAAUGACCACCGGAAUACAAGUAUAUUUAAAAGAACUCAGAGGUGCGGAAGAACUUUGGUGGAACGGCGCACCUUUUCCAUGCAUCAGCUGCGUGUUUAUAUAGGUGAGGAAAAUCCCCUCGCAUGGAGUUACAAUCGGAUCACAAGUUGGUUGGGAUGGGCACUUCCUUGGAGUCCAAGCUAAAUACAUAAUCUAUCUAUUGUUACAACAAACAAACCUUUACAGAUAAGCCGAUCCCAAUCUCAACUGAUCACCUUAAACAAUACAAUGUCGAUAUCUCUUAUAUACUUCUAAUAGCCCCUCUCAAUCAUAACUGAGCUAGGUUAAGAUUGUGCUUGAAGUUCUCCAAUUUCUUAACAGAAAGAGCUUUUGUAAAACCAUCUGCCACUUGAUCUCAUGUCGGCACAUAAUCAAUCUCGAAUAACCUUUGAUUCCUUAUCUUACAAAAUGAUAUUCUACUUCAAUAUGCUUUGUUCUAGCAUGAAAAACAGGAUUAGCAGAAAGAUACUUAGCUCCAAUGUUAUCACACCAUAUCCUUGCAGCCACUGGACAGGAACUCCUAUCUCCUUAAGUAAGGUUUGUAUUCACAUAAUCUCAACAGUGGCAUUUGCUACAGCCUUGUAUUCCGCUUCUUCUGUGCUCGAUCUAGACAUUGUCUAUUGUUUGCGAGCACUUCAAGAAACUAAAUUACAACAAAAAAAAAUCGCAAAGCCUUCAGUAGACCUUCUGUCAUCUAGACAACCUACCCAAUCUGCAUCAGAAAAACCGCUGACAAGCAUGGACUUAGACGUAUGAAUCUUCAGCCCAAUUUUCGUACACUGCUUGAGGUAUCUCAAAAUACGCUUGACAGUUGCCCAAUGCAUGGUUGUAGGAGCAUGCAAAUAUUGACACACUUUAUUUACAGGAAAUGCAAUAUCUGGUCUAGUGAGCGUCAAGUAUUGCAAAGCCUCUACUAUACUUCUAUAUCUUUUAAGCAAAUCAUACGCAUAUUUGUCUUGAGUAAGAAUAAUUCCAUCACAAACCUUGCUGACUUCUAUGCCCAAGAAAUAAUGAAGCUCUCCCAAAUCCUUCAAUGCAAAUUCUUGCUCAAGACUGUGUAGGAGCUUCUCAGUUACACCUUGAACAGAACUUGCUACUAUGAUGUCAUCAACAUAAAUUAGCAAAAAUAUUGUCACAUUGUUAGUGUUAAAAUAAAAUAAUGAUGUGUCUGCCUUUGAGGACUUAAACCCAAGACUGUAUAGCUUCGCACUUAGUCGAGAAUACCAUGCCCUUGGAGCUUGUUUCAACCCAUAAAGAGCCUUGUCCAACUUACACACAUAAUUAAGCAUGGUCUUGUCUUCAUAACCUGGAGGUUGUCUCAUGUAGACUUCUUCCUCUAGUAUUCCAUGAAGAAAGGCAUUUUGUACAUUGAGCUGUCGUAGACUCUACCCUUGUGAAAUAGCAAUAGAUAAAACAGUUCUGAUGGUUGCAGCCUUAACAACAGGACUAAAGGUAUCAGGACUAAAGGUAUCUUCAUAAUCUACCCCAUAUCUCUGCUUAAAGCCUUUAGCCACUAAGCGAGCCUUGUAUUUGUCUAAGCUAUCGUCAACCUUACGCUUAAUUUUAUACACCCAUUUACAAUCAAUGAUAUUGCUGCCUUUCUAUGGUGGAACUAAAUGCCAAGUCUUAUUUCGAAGUAAAGCAUCAUAUUAUAUGUCCAUUGCAUGUUUCUAGUUUGCAUCUCCUAAAGCCUCUGAAGUAUUUUGUGGCUCACCAAUAGAAGUAAAGAAUCCAUACCGAACUGUACCAUCAGUAUACACCUUGGGUUUGCAUAUCCUAUCUCGAAGGUGAGUAUGUGGUCGUCGAUGUGGUUCUGCUGGUUCAGACGGAGCUGCCGCAGAAGAUCCAAUUUUGGCUCCCCUAGGAUUCGAGGCAGAUCCGACAGGUGGAGCUAUAGCAGGAUCCGUCGCCGAUGCACGUGCUGUCGGGAGGUCACCCGACCGCAUGUCGGGUGAAGGUGGUGUGGCAGCGCUGGAGAGGCCACGCUCAGGCGAGGCAAGAGGGUGCCCUCACCACGCGUCGUACAAAGAUGGGAGGUGCGCGCCCAUCGGUGAUGGAGGAGUGCGGCCUGCCGCAUUGGGAUCCGCCUGGCGCAGCCCAUGAUCCGAGGUAGAUCCCAUUCGCUGCUACAUGGCACGGAGCGAAUCUCCCCCGGCACCUGAGCCUAGAAGGGUGCUGUUAUUUGAUGUACCACUGGUAGUAUGGAUCUGGUCAUUGCCGGAGUACUUCUCCCUCAUCGCCAACUUCUCCAAAUCUCCCGUGAUGUGGUCAUUAGCACCGGUAUCCAUGUAGGUAGCAGCCGCAACAUUCUUCAGGUCUGGCACAUAGUUUUCAUCAAACCUAUGCUAGUAUCUAUCAGUUGUGUGUCCCCUCUUGAGACACACCUGACAUAGUGAGCAUUCGGUGGAGUUGUUGUUGAAGCGCUGGUUGGAGUUGUUGCUGUUGUUGGGUGGACGCGAGUUGGUGUUGUUCAUGGUGCCUCCUCCCUAGCCACGACCAAAGCCUCCAUGGCCAUGGUUGUUGGAGCCGCCACCACCACGUCCUCGGUUGCCCUUCCCUCCACGGUUUGCCAUGUUGGCAGAUGAACUAGAGGAAGAGUGGCCACUCUGGAGCUCCAUCCUGGUUUCAAAAGCAAGAAGCUACAAAUACACUUCGCUUACCGAGGGCGCAUCUGAUCUUGCAACAAGAGUAGACACAAUGGGGUUGAAGUCGUGAUCAAGCCUAGUGAGGAUGUGCUCGAUGAGUUCCUCUUUUUCCACCGGUCUUCUAGCGGCGGCCAUCUCGUCGCCUAGGGCCUUCAUCUUCCUGACGUACUCCGCGAUCGUCAUGGAUCCCUCCUAGGUGGUCGCAAGAGCUAGGCGCGUGUUCACCGCGCGAGCCUGGGUGCGCGACGAGAACAUGUCUUCAAUCAUCUUCCAGGCUUGAGCUGCUGUCUCCAUCGCAGCUAUCUGUCCCAGCACAUCCUUGCACACGGAGGUGAGUAGAAAACCAAGGACUUGCUGGUCCGAGGUAUACCACUCAUCCCAUGCCGGAUUUGGGAUCUUGACAUCUUUGCCGACGGCAUCCUUCCCACCAGUUUCAGCAGGAGGUGCAGCUUUGGCACCGGUGAGGUACCCUUGGAGACAUUCUCCACGGAGGGUCACAAGGACCUGGGCCCUCCAUGUGGCAUAGUUGAGCCUGGCGAGCUUCUCUGUCACGCUCUGGCCAGACAAGGGAUUCAUUGCAGCUCUGGAGGAUGAAGCCAUGGCUUGAGGUGGAUUGGAUCUAAGGAAAGCUGGCUCUGGUUACUAUAAAAGAACUUAGAGGUGCGGAAGAACUUUGGUGGAACGGCGCACCUUUUCCGUGCGUCAGCUGCGUGUUUAUAUAGGAAAAUCCCCUCGCAUGGAGUUACAAUCAGAUCACAAGUUGGUUGGGAUCAGCACUACCUUGGAGUCCAAGCUAAAUACAGAAUCUAUUUAUUGUUACAGCAAACAAACCUUUACAAAUAAACCUCUACAGAUAAGCUGAUCCCAAUCUCAACUAAUCACCUUAAACAAUACAGUGUCAAUAUCUCUUAGAUACUUCUAAUAGUAUUCGGGUUGAUUUAUAACAAGAGCAUAUUGAGUUUGAAUGCCUAGCAAAUUUACACCGUUAGCGUAUUGAAAGGCGCAGUUUUAGCUAUCGAUAACUAGACCUAGGAAGCCUCCUAUCAUUAGCAAAACCCAGAAAUUAUUUCCUCAAUUCGCAACAAAAUCAAGAAGCAGAGGAACCCAACACAGUAGGGGGAGAGUAGCCAAGGGCCAGCCAGCGCAAUGGACCUGCAUGGGUAGUGCGUCCAUGUCUGCCCGAAGCACAACGAAGGGUGGGCCCCCGGUGCCGAUCGUCGCGACCAACCCGGUGAUGGCGAUGGGGUGUUGAGCUCCCGGCGCACGAGCUCGCUAGUCUUGAACUCCUCGUAGCCCAGCUCAGGGUUCUCGUGAAUCCGCCGCCGCACCCCGACCAUUCAGUCCAGGAAUGCCGGCUCCUUUGCCCGCCGCAGGAGCUCCGCAGGGUCCUCCAGCGAUGCCGCCGCCGAAGCCCAGACCGCUGUGGAGGCGACGGCGAGGGUGGCAAGCAGGAGAGGCACCACUGUGGAGGCUACUGUGCUACUUGCUGGUUCGUUUUAGUUGAUGACUGAUGAGGCAGCUUCGCUUUUGAUGAGGGCAGCAGUUGAUUUCCUUUUUCUUUUUCCUCCCAACUUUUUUCCUUCCUAGUCACUAAAAAAACCUUUUUCCGUCCCAUUUCCAGCCCUGUGCAGCUUCCUUCCUAUUUCUAGCCCCGUGUAGCUUGUGACUCUGCUGACUGCUUGGCUAAAAAUCAGGUAUGUUUAGCUUCAUUCGGGGUGAUGAGAUUUUUUUUAUUUUUAACCCCAAUUUUAUUUGCACGGUGUGAUCCUUUUGAUCGUGCCGUGCGCCGUGGUGCAGCAGUUAGCCGCUGCCGCGCCACGUGCACUUGCACUAGGUUUAGGAUUUCAUUUUGAAUUUUUCAUGAUUUAUAAGUUUGUUAUGUAGUAAUGGAUGCUUAGUUUAUACGCAGUCGACUCUUUGCCCAUGGUUUUAACGUGUAGAAGUAGUUGCAUGCAUCGAUUUAUAUAGUUGUUGAUGUAUUUGUGUGGUGUACAUGGCAUGUGUAGGUUUAUUUGUUUAUUAUGUCAAAUUAAUGUAGUUUAUUGUUGUUGUUUGUAGUAAAUGACCUAUAUUUGGUAUGUUAAAGUCUUUGCAUUUUGUAAAUGGAUCGUUUAGUUCGUAUGUUUCAUAGUGGGAUUGUGAAAGAGAAUGGGGAGUUUGAGAAUAUGAAUGAGGUAGUGGAGUUGUUCGAUGCUCGUCCAAGUUUUAAAGAUUUAGUUGAGCGUGUAAUGACAGAGUAUGGAUGUGGAGUGGAUGAGAUGACAUUGAGAGGCCAUUCUGAUUGUAGGAAAGCUAGACCUCAUUAUGUUCUCAUGAAUUUGGCAUGCGAGUCUAAUUGAAAGCAAUAGAAGCAGGUAGUUGAGCAUACAAAUGUUGUAUGUUUGGACGUGGUAGUUGAUAUUUGUCGUAGGCCUAGCACAAAUGUUGCCUUGAGAGAUGAACUCCAGAAAGUGGUUGAGAAUGGUACCCAAGAGUCAACAAUUUUAUAGCAUGGCUUAGGUAAAAGCCAAUCUGAUUUUGGCUUGGCCAUUGGAAUGGUGAUUUUCCUAAUGAUACUUUUGAGCGGGAAGAAGCAAACAUAGAUGAUGAUGACACAACUCUAGGUUCCGAAGAUGAUGAUGUUGAGGAGGAGGAUAGGGUAGAAGAUAUUCAGGCCAACGCGCAUGAAGAUGUAGUAGUCAGAGAUGGAUCUGA
rnacentral:lncRNA from 1 species